GCCCCAGUGGCGGCAAUGGAUAGCGCGUCGGACUUCUAAUCCGGAGGUUGAGGGUUCGAGUCCCUCCUGGGGUG
rfam:Macrostomum lignano unitig_42813, whole genome shotgun sequence.